GACGAACGCUGGCGGCGUGCUUAACACAUGCAAGUCGAACGGGGUCCAUGAGAGCUUGCUCUCGGAAGACCUAGUGGCGAACGGGUGAGUAACACGUGAGAAACCUGCCUCGGAGUGGGGAAUAACUCGAGGAAACUCGAGCUAAUACCGCAUACCUUCUUUUGACCGCAUGGUCAGUUGAAGAAAGAUUUAUCGCUCUGAGAGGGUCUCGCGGCCUAUCAGCUUGUUGGUGGGGUAACGGCCUACCAAGGCAACGACGGGUAGCUGGAUUGAGAGAUCGACCAGCCACACUGGAACUGAGACACGGUCCAGACUCCUACGGGAGGCAGCAGUGGGGAAUCUUGCGCAAUGGGCGAAAGCCUGACGCAGCAACGCCGCGUGCGGGAUGAAGGCC
rnacentral:rRNA from 1 species